GUCCACGCAGUAAACGAUGGAUGUUAGCUGUUCGGAGCGAAUGAGUUCUGAGUGGCACAGCGAAAGCGUUAAACAUCCCACCUGGGGAGUACGCCGGCAACGGUGAAACUCAAAUGAAUUGACGGGGGCCCGCACAAGCGGAGGAACAUGUGGUUUAAUUCGAUGAUACGCGAGGAACCUUACCCGGGCUCAAACGGCACAGUGAUACUUUUGAAAGGAGGUAGCUCUACGGAGACUGUGCCGAGGUGCUGCAUGGUUGUCGU
rnacentral:rRNA from 1 species